CCCUCUCAGACUCACUCACGAAACCCACUAUUUCUCUCCCGAUCUGAGACUAACCCUACCUCAUCGGCCGCCAUCUCUAUCGCGCGCUCUCUCUGUCUCUCUGUCUCUCUCUCAACUCGUCUCUAUCGCGCUCUCUCUCUCUCUCUCUCUCUCUCUCUCUCUCUCUCUCUCAGAGUCACAUCUUUAAGUCUCUUAGAGACGCGAGACUCAUUCUCUUUCUCCAAACCUAACCAAACAUCAAUCCAAUAUCAUUGGUUUUUGGAGCGAAUCCUUGUAAAUUUUGGAGGGCUCUGGUUCAUUCUAAGGUAAUUUGUAUGUAUUUGGUUUGGAUUCUUAGUUGUUUUCAUUUUCCCUAAUUUAGUAGAUUAUUAGGGUUUCGAAAUUUUGGUAUUCUGUUGAAAUUAACGCAAUUUUUUCUUAAUUUUGUAGUUGUUGUGCUUAGUCUCUGUGGGUUUGGAUUAAUAGGCAAAAUUGAAGGUAUAAAUAUUUCUAUCUCAAUCUCUGUGUGUGGCUUAAAAGGAAUGGGAGAAUUAGAAUUAUAUAUUUUUAAAUCAUCAGCUCCACAUGGCUUUACUUUAGAUCUAUGGAUUUUUGGUAUUUUCUUUCUUUAUGUGAAUAUGAUCUGACCUUCAAUUUUAAUCUUCCUGUGUUCUGUUUGUUCUGCAGAUUGUUGCGUUGCAGCUUUCUGGUAAGCACUCUUAUACUAUGACAUUUUCAUGUCAAUGAUUUCAUUGUAUACUCUGUUCAAUUUUUCUGUACUCAAUGUUGUGAAUUAUCUAAUUUGUUCUUUGUAACAUGAUCACAGUGGUCCGAAUUGCCCCGAAUUGUGUCUUUGCACUGAGGUAUCGUAUUAAUAUAAUUGAUUUCGAUGUGAUAAAAUUUAUGAAUAAAUUAGCAAUGUGGUUUUCAUCAAUUUGAAAGAUGAAAUUCAGGCUUAGCUUUGCCCUUCUGCACUCUAUUACUACAUUUUCCUAGACGUAGACAUACAUGGAAUUUAGUUUUGUUUAUGUUUGGAUGCUUUCUUUAUUGUUUUCAGAUUUAAUUUCUGAUUUUUUUAUCUGUGUAUUUUAGGUUCGAUUGUUAGCCUUGAAUCUGUUUCAAUUUAUUUAAUUGAGUUGUCUUGAAUCUGUAUUUUUGGCAUGAAUCUACUUAACUUGUUGUUGAUUAAAUGCAUUCAUUCUUUUAUUUGUUUUCUCCCUUUUUUCCUUAUGUAGCAUGUUUGUGUUAGUAUCUUAUUGAUGAAUGAAUGCUAAUAUUUGGGUUAAUUAGUUUUUUUAUUGAAUAAUUAUUUAUUGAUUGAAUGACUGGUCUAUAUUUGUUUUUCAAAGGUUUAGAUUCUGUCAUUUUGUGCUGAACUAAUCAUUUCCUGCUCUGAUAUUCUAUAGUUGUGAUAUUUGAUCAGGAUGCAGGUUUGACACUUUGUCGAAUUGGAACAAUGAUGAUGGAGAAGCCAUGGGAGCUGCAAAACAUGUUUUGUUUGCAGCUCCCUUAACUGAUACAAGUGAAUAUAUUUGGUGCUUUACCUUUUUUUUUUUUUUUUGGUCAUGGGUUGUAAAAUUUAAUUUCGUAGUUUUAUGAUGAUUGUGAAAUUUAAUUUGAUAGUUUAGAUACUUUUUUUAAAAAAAAAAAAAAAAACAGGUUAUAGUUGAAUUUACAUAAUUUGGGCAAGGAAAACCUUUAAUUGAUGGGCUGCUUGAAAAACUGGUAUUGUUAAAAAAAUAAACAAUAUUGGGCUUUUGAAAAUUCAACAAUAUUGGGCUUUUGGAAAGAAAAAAAAAAGAUUUUGGGCUCAACCCAGAACCGACCAAAAAACCAGAACCGAACCUUGUAUGUUCGGGUCGGCCCAACUUCGGGUUUCAUUUUUGACCCGAUCCAACCCGAGAACCGCAGUAUUGGUCGGUUCGGCCCACGGGUCAGUCAAAAUUUGACCCGACCCGAACCGUGCCCAGGCCUA
rnacentral:lncRNA from 1 species